AGCAACUUGACGCAGUGGAAGCGUGCAGGGCUCAUAUUUAUAGUGUAGCGCAUGCUUUGAAACCCUGAAGUCCCUGGAUCGAAACCAGGAGUUGCUA